rnacentral:tRNA from 1 species
CGGGGUGUGGCGCAGUUGGUAGCGCGCUACUUUUGGGAAGUAGAAGCCGAGAGUUCGAGUCUCUCCACCCCGACCA